rnacentral:rRNA from 1 species
ACUCAAAGGAAUUGACGGGGGCCCGCACAAGCAGCGGAGCAUGUGGUUUAAUUCGAAGCAACGCGAAGAACCUUACCAGGUCUUGACAUCCAGUUAAACUUGUAGAGAUAUGAGGUCCCUUCGGGGGAACUGAGACAGGUGGUGCAUGGUUGUCGUCAGCUCGUGUCGUGAGAUGUUGGGUUAAGUCCCGCAACGAGCGCAACCCUUGCCAAUAGUUACUAACGAGUGAAGUCGAGGACUCUAUUGGGACCGCCGGGGACAACUCGGAGGAAGGUGGGGACGACGUCAAAUCAUCAUGCCCCUUACGACCUGGGCUACACACGUGCUACAAUGGCCGAGACAGAGAGCGGCGAAGGAGCGAUCUGGAGCGAAUCUCAAAAAAGCGGUCACAGUUCGGAUUGUGGGCUGCAACCCGCCCACAUGAAGCAGGAGUUGCUAGUAAUCGCGAAUCAGCAUGUCGCGGUGAAUACGUUCCCGGGCCUUGUACACACCGCCCGU